AAAUUACUGUAUGUUACAUACGUAGGAUUAUUUUAACUAAAAGUGGAAUUGGAAAAGUGAGAUUGUGACAGAUUUCCAAUGUGGGGUCAGCAAGUUCAGAGGUUAAGUGACUUUACAGAGGAGCUUCUGUCACACCGUCUUUUACCAUGACAAGAUCAGGUGCCUUAAAACUUUGCAUCCUCUUCUUUCUCACCUUCAUCCUGUGUCUACCAGAGUUUUUUCCAAAAAUAUCACAAAUUGAGUUUCUCUGUGAGCCCUUUGACCCUUGCACACCUGAGAAUGAUACACAGGUGUGUGCUCCAUAUGACCCUCCCUGUGUGAUAGAAAUGAUAAAUGCCAGCAGCCAACACACACGUUCUGAAGGCUGGUAUCUGUGUAAAACUGAAAUGGAUCUGCAGCUUCUCCAGAACAAUACCUCACCGUCAGAAGAGCAUGUGAUGGUGCUACUGACAAUGAAGGCAGGCAAUCACUCUGGAUGGAACAUUAGUGAAUUUAUGUUUCUCAACAACACUGAUCUAUACACUGCUGGACCCCAAAAUGACCAGAGACUGUUUUAUUGCAACCUCCCACCAGACAACAGCAAAUGUCCAGAUCUGAACAUAUCCAUGCAAGAAAAAAACACCAGCCCUCCAAUACAAGACCCCUCCAUUUUAAAAACCAAUACUUCUGUGAACCCAACUGCCUUUUCACUCAAAACAACUACACUGUCUUUCCAAGAAACACCUUCUACAGAUGAGCUGAAGUGUCAACCAACCAGCAGCAGUUUCCUCUUUUACUACCAGAUGAACAAUGAAACAGCAAGAUCUGCCGCAUUACCAGUAACCCAAACAAGAAAAGAUGGCUGGUGGUGUGUGAUUACUUCGGUGUGGUUGGCUCUGGUACUGACUGUGAUUGUGGUAACCCUAUUGAGUGUGGGAAACAUGAUCUUUAAGAGCAGAAAACGAAAGUCCGGUUUGGUUGCAUCUGUGCCGGUUUCAGCCCGUGGACGUCAGCUCAAAGAGCUCAGUAAACAAAAAGAAAUUGUGAGUGACACUGACAAGUAUAGAGCUGCAAAAAUUUUCUAUAAGUGUGCUAAUCAAUUCUCUCAUUUUUACUUUCAGUAAUGAGUGCUGUCCCUACUGUGUCCAUAGCAAUGUGCUGCUUAAGUGAUGGGGAUGUAUUCUAUGAGAAACCGUCAAUGGGGAACAGAACAGAAGGUAAACAAACAACCUGUUCUAUCAUACUGCACACUUUUUACCCUGAAGAAAUCUGUG
rnacentral:lncRNA from 1 species